UAGCAUCUUCUCAGCCACAUAGUACAGUGUGUGCACCAUGGUUUCAUAGUGUUCUGGAUGCUGCUGGGGAAGUAGUGACUAUCCCCCUUCAGCACACCCAUGGCACAGUACACAUCCUGGAUUCUGCAAGCCAUAUCUGGCACUGUUGCCACUUCAUCAGUUCAUAUUGUGGGAGGAAUUAAGAUGUGAGCCACCGCGCCCGGCCAAUCAUGACACUUUUGACGUGUUAAGUCAGAUAAUAUUUUGUUGUGGGAAGCUGUUCUGUGUAUUGUAGGCUACUUAGAAACACCCCUGGUCUCCACCCACCGCUGAGGGCCAGGGACCCCCUUCCCCUUGUGGUGACAAUGGAAAGCAUCUCCGACUUUGGCAAAUGUUCAUCACCUCCUCCCUCCCCAGACACCGGUUGACAACCAGUGGCCCAGCACACAGGGAACAGAGUGGGGAAUAGAUAUGGGAAAGGAAUUUCUAGAAAUCUCCAGGAGCUCACCACUGUGGCAGCAGGGAUGAGGAAAUACAUCAAAAGGUGAUCUAAGUGGGAAUUAAUUUGAUCUUGGCUUCCAACAGCUCCCCUUCCCCAUCUUCCUGCCUCCUCCACCCCCACCGGCUAUGCACAUUCUUUUCUCUUUCACUGAACCUGUUCCAGUAUCUGUGCAAUCCUCCAGAUCAAAUUCAUU
rnacentral:lncRNA from 1 species